GAUGAAGAACGCAGCAAAAUGCGAUAAGUAAUGUGAAUUGCAGAAUUCAGUGAAUCAUCGAAUCUUUGAACGCACAUUGCGCCCGCUGGUAUUCCGGCGGGCAUGCCUGUUCGAGCGUCAUUUCAACCCUCAAGCCCCCGGGUUUGGUGUUGGGGAUCGGCUCUGCCCUUCUGGGCGGUGCCGACCCCGAAAUACAUUGGCGGUCUCGCUGCAGCCUCCAUUGCGUAGUAGCUAACACCUCGCAACUGGAACGCGGCGCGGCCAUGCCGUAAAACCCCAACUUCUGAAUGUUGACCUCGGAUCAGGUAGGAAUACCCGCUGAACUUAAGCAUAUCAAUAAGCGGAGGA
rnacentral:misc_RNA from 1 species